UCCCAUGUAGUUUUAUUAGGAAGAGAUACAGAGAGCUCCAGAGAGGCGUCUGUCUGCUGACUCAUUCUCCAAAUGUCUGCCACAGCCAGGGCUGGGCCAGGCUGAAGUCAGGAACCCAGAACUCCCUCUUAGUCUCCAGGAAGUUGAGUUCCAGGGCCAUCGUUCUCUGCUUCCCAGGCAGGAUAGCAGGGAGAUGGAUCAGAAGCGGAGCAGCCAGGACCAAGCAGCUUGAGAUGCUGGCAUCGCCAGCUUCACCUGCUGCGCCAAUACCCUGCCCCCCUAGUCCACACGGUUUUAACAGUUCACUAAGUAAAAAAAAUAACUGCCCACAGCAAGAGGCAAGUUAAUGGAAGGUGAGGGUGGCGCCUCACACUGCCCGGGUGGCUGUAGUCGAAGGGUAGCUAAGCAGUGUUUCCCAGGGUGUGAGGAGACCGGAGCCGCCUCUGCUGGGGAAAGAAGCAUAAACGCCCAGCACUGUGCUCCCUGGAAUACAAACACCCGAGCGAGCUGGAGCUGUGUGCCGCCGUGGCCCGCUGCCUCCUGCGUGCUCACCGCAGCACUGGUCCCAGUGAGCCCCAGGACCCCUCCGUGGGCGACGGGACCAACCCACGCAUACAGCAGGCUGGGAUCCAGCCACGGAGAGGAAAGGCCAGGUGCUGACGCUGUGGUGCACGGGACCUGGAAGCAUGAUCGUGUGACGCGGAGGCUGCAUCAGAGGACCGGGGCCAGAGUGGUUCUCAAGACGAUGUCAUCAUGGCUGGCGUUCAAGCAUCUGCCUAUGGCGCCAGCAUCCCAUAUGGGCGCCGGUUCGAGUCCCGGCUGCACACUUCUGAUCCAGCUCUCUGGGAAAGCAGUAGAAGAUGGUCCAAGUGCUUGGGACCCUGCACCUGUGUGGGAGACUUGGAAGAAACUCCUGGCCCUUGGCUUUGGAUUGGCUCAGCUCCAGCUGUCAUAGCCAUUUGGGGAGUGAACCAGUGGAUGGGAAGACCUCUCUCUCUGUCUCUCCCUUUCUGUAACGAUGCCUCUCAAGUAAGCAAAUAAAUCUGAAACUAAAAAUAUAUGACGUUCUUUG
rnacentral:lncRNA from 1 species